GAGCGGCUGGAGCUCUGAUGUAUUGCUGUUACAGAGCCUGUGCCUGAGACCCUCCGUGACUGCUGUCUGCCAGGCCACAUAUUUUGUGCUGCACAGGGGGACAGUCAAACCAGGCACUGUGCUUGUCACCCUGGAUAAAGCCUUUCAGUGACAACCCAACUGAUACAGGACAAGCAGAGUAAAAUAUUUGAUAAUGAGGAUCAGAAUUGGGAACAGGGGGGAAUAAACCACCCCGAAGACACAAGGUGACCCGUCUCAGUGGGAUGACCUAGUGCACAAGCCAGCUAAUGAUGCCCGUCUGUCAGCUGGGCCCCGGGAGCCAGAGCCCGAGGGAGAGGACACCAGCCCUGACAGAUGGCGGCGGCUUUGCUGAUUAUAAAGCUCAGCUGGACCAAGGCUCUAUUUCAUUCCCAGCACCAAGGUCCCGUCUGAACAUGGGCUGUUUACUUAAAACAUAUUCAUUCCUGUUUCUGUUCAUCAGAUUCUGAGGAUAAAAAUGAACAUGAGCAGCUGUUGGAUUUUUGCUGCUAACUAUUCAAUUCUGCUUUGUGUUAAGGAAACUCACAAUCCAUUUUACCCCGUAAUCAUUCUUUAUGAGCGAAAAAUCAAAUCGGAAGUGGCAAAAGAGAAUGGACGCUAGGGAAAAAAAAUUCAAAUAGGCACUGCCUUUGGUUGAUGCUCUUUCCCUGCAUGGGAAAUUCAGACUUUUGUAUUAUCCCACUAAAAAAAGAAGCAGCACCAAAUUCAGCAAGCUGAUGUUUUCAAGCACAAAACAAUGUCGAACCAGGAGCUCUGCUCUUACUCUGCCUUCUGCCUAAGAGAUCUCGGCUUUCCUUCUAGGAGUAAUGAAGAAGUGGCUUCAGGACAUUAUGCCUCCCAAGUCACUGAACUUCAGACCCAGUCACAUAUAGACAUUUAAGACGAGAGGGAGUAAAUGCCCAGCGCUGCUAUGACAGAAGGGUCCUGAGGAAGAAAAGCAGCGCUUGGAAAAGAUCACCACCCUCUGCCACCCGAAACCUCAGGGAGGAAAAAUGUUAUUCCAGGCGGCAGCUGUGAAUUACAACAUGCCCAAGAACUUGCACAGGCCCCUUCAGGCCAGGUCUUAUGCUAUUUGGAAAAGUGACAAGGGGUUAUAUUUUCACACCCAGCUGUUGCUUUAUGACUUCGUAGGCAAGGAGUUGUAGAGGUCUCUCUAGCUCCCCAACGCUGACUUAUUUAGAACUCCUGUGGGAAGGAGAUCAGGGCUGCACACAGUGGCUGAUGGAGGAAGGGCGAUGUGGCAGGUGUUCUUAAGCAGACACAUAUUCUGGAACAAGUUGCGUGAGGUAGGGUAUGAGACAUAGUCUCAUUAGCCAAGGCGAGGCUCUGUAAUCCUGUUGGCCAGCUGUCUUGGGAGCCUCACAAGGCUGCUCCUUUUUGGCAUAGCCUUAGGAAAACAGCCCCUCCAUUUUUAAUGAAUGCAGCAGGAAAGGCAUGGGUACAGAGAGGAGGAAACUGCUCUCUGACUUCUUUUCCUGAUUAUCAUCUAGGACAGGCUUUGGUAAAUGACAAAUGCUCAACAAAAUACUGUGCCUGAGAGAAGAGCCUGCAUAGGGAAUCUGGAAAUUCGUAUUUUAUUCUCGAGUCUGCCACCAACUGGGUGACUUUGAAAGAGUGACUUGAUUGCUCUGGACUUCAAUUUUUGCAAGGAAUGAAUUGCAAUAGGUAAUGUCCACUGUGCCCUGAGGUCAGUUUGCCUUUUCUGAUUCUUUGAUUUAUCAAUAACAAGGUUUGCAACUAGCAGAUCAGGAGUUAAUAAUCCAUCUCUGAGCACUAUGGAUUCAUUCAAGAAUUAAUGGGUCAGGAACCUGUAAUUCUGAUGACCUAUCCAGUUUGGGGAACAACGAACUAGCUCUCCACUACGAUGAGAUGGUUUCAGAUCUCCAGCACCCUUCGCCAGUGCAAGGGCAUCUAGAGAGCCAGGAUAGUAGAAAUUCUACUUUUCUCUCAGCAUCAAUAGCAUGACAGGGACCUAGUCAGCACCAUCCAAUAGAACAUUCCACCAUGAUGGAAAUGUUCAACAUCUGUACUGUCCUGUACAGUAGCCACUUCUCAUAUGUGUUCACUGGUCACUUAAAUUGCAGGUGAUGUAACUAGGAACUGAAUUUUAAAUUUUGUUUCAUUUUAAUUAUUUUAAAUUUAAGUAGUCACAUGUGGCUGGUAGCUACCAAAAUGGACAGCAUAAAUCCUACUACAUUCUGCUGUAAUAAACUCACAAGUGGUAUGCUGUGGGGAAAUGAAAAAACAGACCUUAUUCUACUCCCAUUUCCACAUUUCUGGGUAGUAUGGGGCAAGGGACAAGACUCUGUGACUCCAUUUCCUUUUCUCUCCAAUUAAGAUGGUAAUACCUACUUCACAGUAUUGCUCCGAAGGUUUACUUACGCUGGAUACACGAACUGCCUUUGAGAAUCAUAAAAUGCUAUCUAUAAAAGCAAGGUAUAAUGGGGAUCAUUCACUGCUGAAAGAGGAUCUUGUUUCACUGCAAAACACAAUGAUGUCUGAGAACAUGUGACUAAAUUUGAGAAGAGGUUGGUAAUACCAGAUGGGAGAGAUUGAAAAUAAAGUGGAAAAACCAAAAAGUAAGGGUUAAAGAAGGUGGAGGAGAAGGGAGGGGAUGGAGAUGAUGGAUUUGGGAAAGUCAAGACGUGUGAUAUAAGGGCGAUAGUGAGAAGGCAAAGGCAGACCUGGCUUUUGGGAAGAUACUUUGGGGUUGAGAACUCCUGAUGACAGGAGCAAAGACCAAUGCCCAUCCUGAGCUGCACGGAACUAGAAAAUCACUGACUGGAAUUAGGGUACAUUUUCUCCCCUUACAUGACGGCCUCAGAGAAAAAAGUCUGGGGGGAUUUGAGCAACAGCUACAUAGGCCAAGAGAGUUGAUGCAGAAGAACAUGUUCAACAGUAAUGUUCGGGGCAGAAGGGGGUUGACAACACUGGAUUGUUUGGGAUGAACCUAUAAGCCUCUUUAUAUUUAAAGCAAAUCUGGAAUAAAAGCAUAUACUCUAGUAAAGACCAAGAAAGAAUUGUUUGAUAAAGAGUUGCUGCAACCCUACCGGAAUCAUAAAAUGUGUAGCGUGUUGCAGUGAAGGGUAAUGAUGCUGGGCUUGGCUUGGCACCAUGGCCCCCCUGCUCAGGACAGAAAGAAUAAUGGGUGAGAGACAACAGGAGUUAAACAUCCUAGAGUCCCCUAGCACUUACAAAAGUGCUCAAAGUGGCCAUUUGGCAUCCAUCUCAUUGAAUUUUUCUGUCUUUUUAUCUCAGUCCCUAAUAAGCAUUACUUCCAGAGAAUGCCUGGGUUCAAAUCCAAGCACUCCCAUGUAAUCACUGUGACCCUGGGCUGGAAACAAACUCUCUAAACCACACAACCCUCAUCGCGAGAGUGUAAUAGUACUUGCCUCAGAGGAGUAUAUAUAGUCCUUAUGUGCAAACUAGCACAGUCUCUGAGCACUCAGAAACCACUCAAAUAUGUAAGUAAUUUUUAUUAAAUACUAGAUUAUGUGUCUCAAACUUCCAAACAUAUCACUGGGGAAAAAAUAGCCUUUAACUGGAUCAAAUUAAACAUUACAACCAGAAACAUGGCUUUCUAUGAAUCAAUGCUUUUAGUUUUAUUUUUGUAAACA